rnacentral:rRNA from 1 species
AGCUACCCAGCAAUGGGAUGCGAAUCUCGAAAGCCUGUCUCAGUUCGGAUUGGAGGCUGAAACCCGCCUCCCAUGAAGUUGGAUUCGCUAGUAAUCGCGGAUCAGCAUGCCGCGGUGAAUACGUUCCCGGGCCUUGUACACACCGCCCGUCACACCAUGAGAGUCGGGAACACCCGAAGUCCGUAGUCUAACCGCAAGGGGGACGCGGCCGAAGGUGGGUUCGAUAAUUGGGGUGAAGUCGUAACAAGGUACC